UAUCUCCCCCAAGAGUUCACAUCGACGGGGAGGUUUGGCACCUCGAUGUCGGCUCAUCGCAUCCUGGGGCUGUAGUCGGUCCCAAGGGUUGGGCUGUUCGCCCAUUAAAGCGGUACGCGAGCUGGGUUCAGAACGUCGUGAGACAGUUCGGUCCCUAUCCGUCGUGGGCGUAGGAAAUUUGAGAGGAGCUGUCCUUAGUACGAGAGGACCGGGAUGGACAUACCUCUGGUGUACCAGUUGUCGUGCCAACGGCAUAGCUGGGUAGCUAUGUGUGGACGGGAUAAGUGCUGAAAGCAUCUAAGCAUGAAGCCCCCCUCAAGAUGAGAUUUCCCAACUUCGGUUAUAAGAUCCCUCAAAGAUAAUGAGGUUAAUAGGUUCGAGGUGGAAGCAUGGUGACAUGUGGAGCUGACGAAUACUAAUCGAUCGAAGACUUAAUCAAAUU
rnacentral:rRNA from 1 species